UGUGACAAAAACCAAAACAGAGGAAUCGGAAUCAAAGUGUUGUGAAUGAAAACAAUCUAAACUUUGUGUGAUUUUAAGAUAUUUUACAACACAAAAAAGAAAGAAAAAAUCUGUCGCUUAUUUGUGAAGUUGUAGGAGAUGAAAACGUAAAUUUGAAUACACAGUUACAUGGAUGGGCUUGGUUAGCCAGGUUCCUUAACAAAAUCUCAGCCAACAACAGAGUUACUGCAACAGCCUUAAACGCCUUUCUCCAGACGGCAGGGUUUGGUCUUCAUCAGCGGUACAAAUCUCAGUUUGUGAAAGUUGUGAAUGUCAUGAGAGAACAUUUCUCGCAGAGAUUGAGGGCGAAAAAGGACACGUCGGAUCUACAACUGAUCAUAGCCGAUAUCAUGGCGUACUUGGAUGAAAAAAUGUAUCUCAAGGAACCUGAAGGAAGAACUAUGAAGGCGAGUCUCCUGUCAAUGGAGUUUACUGCUGAGUUUAAUCAUCCGCAGAAUAACAAUCAAUAUUACCAGAGGAAUAAUUACAGAGACAACUACUAUUGAUUUGAUGUAUCAUUUGGCUAGAUAAAAUAUUGUACCUUUCUCAAUUUUUAUUACACUGUUGUAACAUCUCUGAUCACAUUUGUCAAACCAAUCUUUGAAAAAUCAAAAUACAAGAAGCUUUCUUCUUCUUUCACUGUCAAGAUUACUAUUGUUUUCAUUUUAGAUAUAGUAUUAAAGAAUUGGAACGAGUUCAAGGGUUGUCUUGUAUGCCGAGACUGAGUUUAGUCCUCUGUAAUCUACAGAACUGUCGAGAGAUUACAGAACUGUCGAGAAGCAAGAGAAGGUGUACUAUUGGACAUAUUUCAUAACUACUCUUACUGUAGUACAAACAUUACAUAGCCAAAUUAAAUCAUAUAUUUAAUGGUGAAGAACUUGAACAAGGUCAAGAGCAACUUCAUUUCCGGUGAUGAUCUCCUUGGCUUCUUCCUUCUC